AGAGUUUGAUCCUGGCUCAGAUUGAACGCUGGCGGCAUGCCUUACACAUGCAAGUCGAGCGGCAGCGCGGGGGCAACCCUGGCGGCGAGCGGCGAACGGGUGAGUAAUGCAUCGGAACGUGUCCUCUUGUGGGGGAUAACCAGUCGAAAGACUGGCUAAUACCGCAUGAGAUCGAGAGAUGAAAGCAAGGGACCGCAAGGCCUUGCGCGAGAGGAGCGGCCGAUGCCGGAUUAGCUAGUUGGUGGGGUAACGGCCUACCAAGGCAACGAUCCGUAGCUGGUCUGAGAGGACGACCAGCCACACUGGGACUGAGACACGGCCCAGACUCCUACGGGAGGCAGCAGUGGGGAAUUUUGGACAAUGGGGGCAACCCUGAUCCAGCCAUGCCGCGUGUGUGAAGAAGGCCUUCGGGUUGUAAAGCACUUUCGGACGGAACGAANUCGCGCGGGUUAAUAGUCCGCGUGGAUGACGGUACCGUAAGAAGAAGCACCGGGCUAACUACGUGCCAGCAGCCGCNGUAAUACGUNGGGUGCGAGCGUUUANNCUGAAUUACUUGNGCGUAAAGUGUGCGCAGGCGGGCGCUGCAAGGUCGGANGUGUGANNNUCCCCAANCUUUAACUGUGCGAAUUGCGGCUCGUAAACUAUGGGCGCUUGUGAGUAUGCGCNGANNGAANGGUGGAAUUNCNNGNNGUAGGGGUUAANUGNGGU
rnacentral:rRNA from 1 species